GGUUCGAUGGUGUAGUUGAUCUAACGUACUGCCAUGCGCUGGAUAUGCAAGAGCCCCAGUUCGAAUCCGUGUCGAAUCA